rnacentral:rRNA from 1 species
UACGUAGGGUGCGAGCGUUAAUCGGAAUUACUGGGCGUAAAGUGUGCGCAGGCGGCGUUGCAAGUCGAGUGUGAAAUCCCCGAGCUUAACCUGGGAACUGCAUUUGUGACUGCACGGCUAGAGUACGGCAGAGGGGGAUGGAAUUCCGCGUGUAGCAGUGAAAUUCGUAGAUAUCGAGAGGAACACCGGUGGCGAAGGCGGCUAUCUGGACGAUGACUGACGCUGAGACGCGAAAGCGUGGGGAGCAAACAGG